rnacentral:misc_RNA from 1 species
GAUGAUGAACGUAGCGAAACGCGAUAUGUAAUGUGAAUUGCAGAAUUCAGUGAAUCAUCGAGUCUUUGAACGCACAUUGCGCCCCCUGGUAUUCCGGGGGGCAUGCCUGUCCGAGCGUCAUUGCUGCCCUCAAGCACGGCUUGUGUGUUGGGCCUCCGUCCUCCUCCCGGGGGACGGGCCCGAAAGGCAGCGGCGGCACCGCGUCCGGUCCUCGAGCGUAUGGGGCUUCGUCACCCGCUCUUGUAGGCCCGGCCGGCGCUUGCCGACACAUCAAUCUUUUUUCCAGGUUGACCUCGGAUCAGGUAGGGAUACCCGCUGAACUUAAGCAUAUCAAUAAGCGGAGGA